rnacentral:sRNA from 1 species
GGCUAGGCGGGUGUCCCCUUCCUCCCUCACCGCUCCAUGUGCGUCCCUCCCGAAGCUGCGCGCUCGGUCGAAGAGGACGACCAUCCCCGAUAGAGGAGAGGACCGUUCUUCGGUCAAGGGUAUACGAGUAGCUGCGCUCCCCUGCUAGAACCUCCAAACAAGCUCUUAAGGUAUGCAAACUUUAAAAAAAUUCUCUAGGUAUUCAGGGAAUCCCAGAAUGGAAUGCAGAUUUUGAUAAAAGAUUCUGUUUUAC